GGUAACUCAGUGGUAGAGUGCUUGCCUUGCAUGCAUGAGGCCCUGGGUUCAAUUCCUCAGUACCA
rnacentral:tRNA from 1 species